UGGAGCGACCUCACCUCUGCGUGAUUACCGCUGCUCAGGAGCUGCCCGCUUCACCGGAGCCUCGGCGGUCCAUCGGCAGAGAGAGAGAGAGAGAGAGACGAUGAUUGCCGAGCAGCUCCAGCAGCAGGAGGACCAGCGGCAGGUGAGGCGGAGUCAGCCCCGGUCCCGGAGCGGCUCUCCCCGGCUCUGUUGGUGAGCCGUGAGCAUGAUACCUCCCCGGCCUCCUCCAUCUCGUCCCUGGCGCACGGAUCGUCACCCCCACCUAACAAGAUGUAUUUCAACCGGAGAGGCAAGAAGAUCCACAGCGAGGGAGAGCAGUUAGUGUUGACCACCAUCAUUAGGCAGGAGGCUUCUGAAGGGCAGGACCCAGGCCAGGGCCCCAGCGCCACCAUGCGCGCUCGCCUUGCAGACAGGUUUGACAAAACCUCACCUCUCUCCCAUCAAUCCAACGGCGCAGGACCCUCUGGCUCGUCCGCCGGGUACCGCAAGGCGGAUGACGAGAUGUCCGGCACCACUUCCCAGGCGGAACCCGUGGACGCCACGGCGCGGACGGUGAUCCUCAACCGGCCCCAGACCACCAAGUUCUGCGACAACCACGUGAGUACCACCAAGUAUGGGAUUUUAACCUUCCUGCCCCGGUUCCUCUAUGAGCAGAUCCGACGGGCGGCCAACGCCUUCUUCCUGUUCAUCGCACUUAUGCAGCAAAUCCCUGAUGUAUCGCCGACCGGUCGCUACACCACUCUGGUGCCGCUCAUCUUCAUCCUCACCGUGGCGGGAAUUAAAGAAAUCAUAGAGGACUACAAAAGACACAAAGCGGACAACACGGUGAACAAGAAGAAGACGACAGUGCUGCGGAGCGGAGCUUGGCAGACCAUCAUCUGGAAGCAGGUGGCAGUAGGAGACAUAGUGAAGGUGACCAAUGGCCAGCAUCUUCCAGCUGACAUGGUUAUAGUCUCUUCCAGCGAGCCACAGGCCAUGUGCUACAUCGAGACGUCUAACCUGGAUGGAGAAACCAACCUGAAGAUCAGACAGGGUCUUCCCCUGACGGCCGGUUUUCAGACCCUGGAGGAUUUGAUGGCGCUGUCGGGUCAGUUGGAGUGCGAAGGCCCCAACAGGCACCUGUACGACUUCACCGGCACGCUGCGCCUGGUGAACCAGAAUCCGGCUCCUCUGGGUCCAGACCAGGUGCUGCUGCGCGGGGCCCAGCUCAGGAACACACAGUGGGUGGUGGGAAUCGUUGUGUAUACCGGCCAUGACUCUAAACUGAUGCAGAACUCCACCAAGGCGCCACUGAAGCGCUCCAACGUGGAGCGGGUGACCAACAUGCAGAUCCUGGUCCUGUUCGGCAUCCUGCUGGUCAUGGCGCUCGUCAGCUCUGUGGGCGCCGCCAUCUGGAACAGGGAGCACACGGACGAAGCCUGCUGGUACCUGUCGCGGGCCGGCGACAUCUCCCUGAACUUUGCGUAUAACCUGCUGACGUUCAUCAUCCUCUACAACAACCUGAUCCCCAUCAGCCUGCUGGUUACUCUGGAGGUGGUGAAGUUCACACAGGCCCUCUUCAUCAACUGGGACGUUGAGAUGUACUACCCGGAGACGGACACGCCGGCCAUGGCCCGAACAUCCAACCUCAACGAAGAACUGGGCCAGGUAAAAUACCUCUUUUCUGACAAGACGGGAACGCUGACGUGUAACAUCAUGCACUUCAAGAAGUGUACCAUAGCAGGAAUCACGUACGGCCACUUCCCUGAUCUUGACUGUGAUCGUUCCAUGGAGGACUUCAGCAAUCUGCCGUCCAACAGCCACAACUCCACAGAGUUUGACGACCCGAGUCUCAUUCAGAACAUUGAAAAGAAUCAUCCGACGUCGCCUCAGAUCUGCGAGUUCCUGACCAUGAUGGCGGUUUGCCACACUGUGGUACCGGAGAGGGAGGACAACCAGAUUAUUUACCAGGCCUCCUCACCGGACGAAGGGGCGCUGGUCAAAGCCGCCAAAGGAUUCGGCUUCGUCUUCACAGCCAGGACCCCCGAUUCGGUCAUCAUCGACGCUAGAGGAAAAGAGAUGACCUUUGAAAUCCUGAACGUACUGGAGUUCUCCAGUAAUCGUAAGCGCAUGUCCGUGGUGGUGAGAACGCCCAUUGGGAAGCUGCGGCUUUACUGCAAAGGAGCUGAUAACGUCAUCUUUGAACGACUAACAGAAGCAUCUCAGUACAAAGAGCUAACCAUCGCUCAUCUGGAGCAGUUUGCUACGGAAGGCCUGAGGACCCUCUGUUUUGCGUAUGUGGACCUGGAGGAAGGCGCCUAUCAGGAGUGGCUGAAAGAAUAUAACCGUGUCAGCACUGAACUCAAAGACCGCACUCAGAAGCUGGAGGAGUGCUAUGAACGUCUGGAAAAGAACUUAAUGUUGCUCGGAGCCACAGCCAUCGAGGACCGUCUCCAGGCCGGUGUCCCAGACACGAUUGCCACGUUGAUGAGGGCCGGUAUCAAGAUCUGGGUGCUCACCGGAGACAAGCAAGAGACCGCCAUUAAUAUAGGUUACUCCUGUCGCCUGGUGACACACGGCAUGUCCCUCAUCAUUGUCAACGAGGACUCUCUCGACGCCACUCGUGCCACCCUCACCGCCCACUGUUCCUCCCUGGGCGACUCUCUGAGAAAGGAGAACGAGCUCGCACUGAUCAUCGAUGGCCAAACUCUUAAAUACGCCCUGUCCUUCGAGCUCCGCCAGGCCUUCCUCGACUUGGCGCUGUCCUGCAAAGCUGUGAUCUGCUGCCGAGUGUCUCCCCUGCAGAAGUCAGAGAUUGUGGACAUGGUGAAAAAGCACGUGAAAGCCAUCACUCUGGCAAUAGGCGACGGCGCCAACGACGUGGGCAUGAUUCAGACGGCUCACGUUGGAGUGGGGAUCAGCGGCAACGAGGGCAUGCAGGCUACCAACUCCUCUGACUACUCCAUUGCACAGUUCGCCUACCUGGAGAAGCUGCUGUUGGUCCACGGGGCGUGGAGCUACAACCGCGUCACCAAGUGCAUCCUCUACUGCUUCUACAAGAACGUGGUCCUCUACAUUAUAGAGCUCUGGUUCGCCUUCGUGAACGGCUUCUCCGGUCAGAUCCUGUUCGAGCGCUGGUGUAUAGGCCUCUACAACGUGAUAUUCACGGCGCUGCCCCCGUUCACGUUGGGGAUCUUCGACCGGCCCUGCAGCCAGCAGAACAUGCUCCGCUUCCCGCAGCUCUACAGGAUAACCCAGAAUGCCGAGGGCUUCAACACCAAGGUGUUUUGGGGACACUGUAUCAAUGCACUGAUCCAUUCGAUCAUCCUCUUCUGGUUUCCGCUCAAAAUGUUAGAGCACGAUUCCCCGUUCAGUAACGGCCAGGGAAACGACUACCUGUUUGCAGGAAACAUGGUCUACACGUAUGUGGUCGUUACAGUUUGUCUAAAAGCUGGAAUGGAGACCACCGCUUGGACCAAGUUCUCCCACCUCGCCGUAUGGGGAAGCAUGGCGCUCUGGAUGGUCUUCUUCGGCGUGUACUCCGUCUUCUGGCCCGCCAUCCCGAUUGCCCCCGACAUGCUGGGCCAGGCCGGUAAAGUGAUGCAGUGCUGGUACUUCUGGCUGGGCCUGGUCCUGGUACCCACGGCGUGUUUACUCAAAGAUUUCGCCUGGGCAGCCACACGCCGCACUUUGAGGAAGUCUCUGCUGGAGGAGGUGCAGGAGCUGGAGGCGCGGGCCGUCGACCCGGGAGCCGCGGUGCUCAGGGACUCCAGCGGCCGCAGGUGGACCAAUUUGACCUGCUGUACAGACCUGUCUAAACGAACGUGCCCAUCUGCUGACAAGAGUAUUUAGGAAAACGCCUUCAAGUGUUGGACGCUCCAACUCGGUGCAGCAGACGGUUUCACAUGGCUACGCCUUCUCUCAGGAGGAGCACGGCGUGGUGUCCCAGUCCCAGGUAGUUCGGUCCUACGACACCACCCGCCAGCGCCCCAGCCUCUAGCCACCUCCACCCACCCCGAUCGAGGCUUUGGCUCAACGUAGCAUUCGCUGUCACAAGGACGGCGAGAUGAACUUGAGAGCCACCCUCCGACGGCGACCGGCCUCUGCUGUGGCCUUACCAGGACAAUGACGGGACCGUCAUGGACGGGUGGGGAGGGGUCCGUGUCUGGUGUUUUCGGAGGACAGGAUCGGAUAAAGGGACCAGGCUAAUUGCUCAGCAAACUCCUAAAAAAAAUAA